GGGUCCCAUAGGCCAGGCCUACUUUGACGAAUUGGUAGCCCACUGUAGGCGUUGCCUCAGGAGUGGCCCUAGAUAGUGCCCUCAAAAUUUUGUAAAAAUCGGAUGAGCCGUUCAUGACAUAUAAACUUUUUGUACUUGUAGCACCCCCUAGUGGCCAAUUGUCAUAAAACAUGUGGG